AGAGUUUGAUCAUGGCUCAGGACGAACGCUGGCGGCGUGCCUAACACAUGCAAGUCGAGCGGGCCUGUCAAGGCGUCAUGUUUUGGCAGGUUAAGCGGCGGACGGGUGAGUAACGCGUGAGCAACCUACCCUUGAGACAGGGAUAACCCUGGGAAACCGGGGCUAAUACCUGAUAUACUCUAUUAGGGCAUCCUGAUGGAGGAAAGGGCGGGAAGCCGCUCAAGGAUGGGCUCGCGUCCCAUCAGCUAGUUGGUGAGGUAACGGCUCACCAAGGCGACGACGGGUAGCCGACCUGAGAGGGUGAUCGGCCACACUGGAACUGAGACACGGUCCAGACUCCUACGGGAGGCAGCAGUGGGGAAUAUUGCACAAUGGGGGAAACCCUGAUGCAGCAACGCCGCGUGAGUGAAGAAGCUCUUCGGAGCGUAAAACUCUGUCCUAAGGGAAGAAGCCUGACGGUACCUUAGGAGGAAGCCCCGGCUAACUACGUGCCAGCAGCCGCGGUAAUACGUAGGGGGCGAGCGUUAUCCGGAAUUACUGGGCGUAAAGCGUGCGUAGGCGGUCAUGCAAGCUUGGGGUUUAAAGCUGCGGCUUAACCGCAGUGCGCCCUUAGAACUGUAUGGCUUGAGUGCAGGAGAGGAGAGUGGAAUUCCUAGUGUAGCGGUGAAAUGCGUAGAGAUUAGGAGGAACACCAGUGGCGAAGGCGACUCUCUGGACUGUAACUGACGCUGAGGCACGAAAGCGUGGGGAGCAAACAGGAUUAGAUACCCUGGUAGUCCACGCCGUAAACGAUGAGUGCUAGGUGUCGGGGGGUUUAACUCUUCGGUGCCGUAGCUAACGCAUUAAGCACUCCGCCUGGGGAGUACGGUCGCAAGACUGAAACUCAAAUGAAUUGACGG
rnacentral:rRNA from 1 species